rnacentral:rRNA from 1 species
GACGAACGCUGGCGGCGUGCUUAACACAUGCAAGUCGAACGGAAAGGCCCUGCUUGCCGGGUACUCGAGUGUCGAACGGGUGAGUAACACGUGUGUGAUCUGCCCUUCACUUCGGGAUAAGCCUGGUAAACUGGGUCUAUUACCGGAUAGGAUCCAUUUUUAGUGUUAUGGUUUGAAAGUUUUUUCGGUGUAGGAUGAGCGCGCGGCCUAUCAGCUUGUUGGUGGUGUAAUGGCCUACCACGGCGGCGACGGGUAGCCGGCCUGAGAGGGUGGACGGCGACAAUGGGACUGAGGGACGGCCCAGAAGCCAACGGGAGGCAGUAGUGGGGAAUAUUGCACAAUGGGCGCAAGCCUGAUGCAGCGAUGUCGCGAGGGGGAUGACGGGCUUCGGGUUGUAAACUCCUGUCGCUAGGGACGAAGCUUUUUGUGACGGUACCUAGAUAAGAAGCACCGGCUAACUACGUG